rnacentral:lncRNA from 1 species
ACAAAAUACAAAAUUCACCAUAUAGUAGGGUCUCACACGACUCACAAGAACAUUCCGUUAAAACCUAAACCUGAAAGUGAAGGGCCGUCCUUGAAAAGCGAAGAAAGCACUCUGUCUUUUUUGAACACGACACUAUAAAAAUUGGGCCUAGAAGCAUAGCGGGUUUUCCUAAACAGAACCUGCCAAAAAGUUUGAGCUAAGAUUUAUCAAAAAACAAUGUCACUUCUAGUUAGUCAUAUGGACCAACAGAAAGCAACUGUCCUAAUUAAUACAUUUGUCCCGCUGUCUUGGAUAGCUUGCAUGAAAAAAUAGAUAUUAAUUAGCCAACAUUUGCUACAUGAUACUAAAAAUAAAGUCACACUGGUGGCACAUACUAGAAAGGGUCCAAUCCAUUCUCACGGUCGUUCAGUGAUUUUCUAUCCAGCGAACGAUCCAACGUCAGUCGCCCACCCUUCUUCCUCCACUUCUCUUUCCAU